CUGGAGCUGCCACAUGAAUUUUGGGUUCAUAAGGAUUCCCUCUGCUGUGGGGACCUCACCAUAACUUCUUAACUCCUCAAGAGGGGCUGCUCCGUGGGAAUGGUUUAGCUACAACAUAACAUUUUACCUUACUCAGUGAGGAUGGCAGAAACCCAAAAUGACCACCUUCUGCUCUUCUCUUAGUUUCAAAAUUUGGUCAUUUCAGUGGCACAUUCAGAAAGGCAGGAUAUGGGAAUGAGUCUCUCUUUGCCCAUCUCCCUGUCGUCCUCCAAUUUGAUUUAUACUUCAGCAACGUUUAAGGUUAGGUCUUUUGAUAUACUGUUGUAUUAGAUAAAUUAGAUAAGAAAAGACUGUUUUUUUCACUUCAGCUUGUUGGGAAUGGAGACUUUGCUGCAAUUACUUGAUGACCUGACUGAGAAGCAUUCACAGGAGAGAAUGAGACAAAGGAAUCCACUUUCACAGAAAAGUGUCUGUGUGCGGUAGGAACGUUGCCAGAACCAGCGAGGUGGAAAUUG
rnacentral:lncRNA from 1 species